UGCCAGCCGCCGCGGUAAUACGGAGGGUGCAAGCGUUGUUCGGAAUUACUGGGCGUAAAGCGCGUGUAGGCGGCUAGGCAAGUCGGCUGUGAAAGCCCGGGGCUCAACCCCGGAACUGCAUCCGAAACUGCUUAGCUAGAGUCCCGGAGAGGAAGGCAGAAUUCCCAGUGUAGGGGUGAAAUCCGUAGAUAUUGGGAGGAAUACCAGUGGCGAAGGCGGCCUUCUGGACCAAUACUGACGCUGAGAUGCGAAAGCGUGGGGAGCGAACAGGAUUAGAUA
rnacentral:rRNA from 1 species